rnacentral:rRNA from 1 species
AACGAACGCUGGCGGCAGGCUUAACACAUGCAAGUCGAGCGCGUAGCAAUACGAGCGGCAGACGGGUGAGUAACGCGUGGGAAUCUACCCAACCCUACGGAAUAACGCAUGGAAACGUGUGCUAAUACCGUAUACGCCCUUUGGGGGAAAGAUUUAUCGGGGAUGGAUGAGCCCGCGUUGGAUUAGCUAGUUGGUGGGUAAAGCCUACCAAGGCGACGAUCCAUAGCUGGUCUGAGAGGAUGAUCAGCCACAUUGGGACUGAGACACGGCCCAGACUCCUACGGGAGGCAGCAGUGGGAAUUUGGACAAUGGGCGCAAGCCUGAUCCAGCAAUGCCGCGUGCAGGAUGAAGGCCUCGG